rnacentral:rRNA from 1 species
UACGUAGGGCGCAAGCGUUUAUCCGGAAUUAUUGGGCGUAAAGAGCUCGUAGGCGGUUUGUCGCGUCUGCCGUGAAAGUCCGGGGCUCAACUCCGGAUCUGCGGUGGGUACGGGCAGACUAGAGUGAUGUAGGGGGAGACUGGAAUUCCUGGUGUAGCGGUGAAAUGCGCAGAUAUCAGGAGGAACACCGAUGGCGAAGGCAGGUCGCUGGAACGUUACUGACGCUGAGACGCGAAAAGCGUGGGGGAGCAAAACAGG